rnacentral:piRNA from 1 species
UAAUGGUGGUAUUUCUAGUUUUUUGGAU